UGGUGGAGUGAUUUGUCAGGUUAAUUCCGUUAACGAACGAGACUUCUGCCUGCUAAAUAGUUGCCUUUAACACUUGUUAUGGGUCAGCUUCUUAGAGGGACUUUGCGAGCGAUCGCAAGGAAGUUGGAAGCAAUAACA
rnacentral:rRNA from 1 species